UACGUAGGGGGCUAGCGUUGUCCGGAAUCAUUGGGCGUAAAGCGCGCGUAGGCGGCCCGGUAAGUCCGCUGUAAAAGUCAAAGGCUCAACCUUUGAAUGUCAGUGGAUACUGCCGGGCUAGAGUCCGGAAGAGGCGAGUGGAAUUCCUAGUGUAGAGGUGAAAUUCGUAGAUAUUAGGAAGAACACCGGUGGCGAAGGCGGCCCACUGGAUCGGUACUGACGCUGAGGUGCGAAAGCGUGGGGAGCAAACAGG
rnacentral:rRNA from 1 species